rnacentral:rRNA from 1 species
GACGAACGCUGGCGGCGUGCUUAACACAUGCAAGUCGAACGGAAAGGCCCUGCUUUUGUGGGGUGCUCGAGUGGCGAACGGGUGAGUAACACGUGAGUAACCUGCCCUUGACUUUGGGAUAACUUCAGGAAACUGGGGCUAAUACCGGAUAGGAGCCCCUGCUGCAUGGUGGGGGUUGGAAAGUUUCGGCGGGUGGGGAUGGACGCGCGGCUUAUCAGCUUGUUGGUGGGGUAGUGGCUUACCAAGGCUUUGACGGGUAGCCGGCCUGAGAGGGUGACCGGCCACAUUGGGACUGAGAUACGGCCCAGACUCCUACGGGAGGCAGCAGUGGGGAAUAUUGCACAAUGGGCGGAAGCCUGAUGCAGCGACGCCGCGUGCGGGAUGACGGCCUUCGGGUUGUAAACCGCUUUCGCCUGUGACGAAGCGUGAGUGACGGUAAUGGGUAAAGAAGCACUGGCUAACUACGUG